UAUUGAAGGAAUUAGUAUGGUGCUUUUAGUUUAUAAAUAUAAAUAGGCAAAAGUUAAAAGGGAAUGUGAUGAAAUUUCACAACAGCCCCCACUACUGUGAUAGAGGAUGAAAGCUAAAAUUAUAAAUUCCAUUGAGAGAUUUUCUUGAGAAGGAGUUUAGUGAGUAAAGAGAUUCUUAAGUCAGGAAACCUGCCAUAACUUUAAUAGUGUU
rnacentral:ncRNA from 2 species